rnacentral:rRNA from 1 species
GAUGAACGCUGGCGGCGUGCCUAAUACAUGCAAGUCGAGCGAACGGACGAGAAGCUUGCUUCUCUGAUGUUAGCGGCGGACGGGUGAGUAACACGUGGAUAACCUACCUAUAAGACUGGGAUAACUUCGGGAAACCGGAGCUAAUACCGGAUGAUAUUUUGAACCGCAUGGUUCAAAAGUGAAAGACGGUCUUGCUGUCACUUAUAGAUGGAUCCGCGCUGCAUUAGCUAGUUGGUAAGGUAACGGCUUACCAAGGCAACGAUGCAUAGCCGACCUGAGAGGGUGAUCGGCCACACUGGAACUGAGACACGGUCCAGACUCCUACGGGAGGCAGCAGUAGGGAAUCUUCCGCAAUGGGCGAAAGCCUGACGGAGCAACGCCGCGUGAGUGAUGAAGGUCUUCGGAUCGUAAAACUCUGUUAUUAGGGAAGAACAUAUGUGUAAGUAACUGUGCACAUCUUGACGGUACCUAAUCAGAAAGCCACGGCUAACUACGUGCCAGCAGCCGCGGUAAUACGUAGGUGGCAAGCGUUAUCCGGAAUUAUUGGGCGUAAAGCGCGCGUAGGCGGUUUUUUAAGUCUGAUGUGAAAGCCCACGGCUCAACCGUGGAGGGUCAUUGGAAACUGGAAAACUUGAGUGCAGAAGAGGAAAGUGGAAUUCCAUGUGUAGCGGUGAAAUGCGCAGAGAUAUGGAGGAACACCAGUGGCGAAGGCGACUUUCUGGUCUGUAACUGACGCUGAUGUGCGAAAGCGUGGGGAUCAAACAGGAUUAGAUACCCUGGUAGUCCACGCCGUAAACGAUGAGUGCUAAGUGUUAGGGGGUUUCCGCCCCUUAGUGCUGCAGCUAACGCAUUAAGCACUCCGCCUGGGGAGUACGACCGCAAGGUUGAAACUCAAAGGAAUUGACGGGGACCCGCACAAGCGGUGGAGCAUGUGGUUUAAUUCGAAGCAACGCGAAGAACCUUACCAAAUCUUGACAUCCUUUGACAACUCUAGAGAUAGAGCCUUCCCCUUCGGGGGACAAAGUGACAGGUGGUGCAUGGUUGUCGUCAGCUCGUGUCGUGAGAUGUUGGGUUAAGUCCCGCAACGAGCGCAACCCUUAAGCUUAGUUGCCAUCAUUAAGUUGGGCACUCUAAGUUGACUGCCGGUGACAAACCGGAGGAAGGCGGGGAUGACGUCAAAUCAUCAUGCCCCUUAUGAUUUGGGCUACACACGUGCUACAAUGGACAAUACAAAGGGCAGCGAAACCGCGAGGUCAAGCAGAUCCCAUAAAGUUGUUCUCAGUUCGGAUUGUAGUCUGCAACUCGACUACAUGAAGCUGGAAUCGCUAGUAAUCGUAGAUCAGCAUGCUACGGUGAAUACGUUCCCGGGUCU